rnacentral:rRNA from 1 species
AGCAGCCGCGGUAAUUCCAGCUCCAAUAGCGUAUAUUAAAGUUGUUGCAGUUAAAAAGCUCGUAGUUGAAUUUUAGGCCUGGCCGGGCGGUCCGUCUUUGGCGAGUACUGUCCUGUUGUCGGGUCUUCCUUCUGGUGAACCAGUAUGCCCUUCAUUGGGUGUGCCGGGGAGCCAGGACCAUUACCUUGAAAAAAUUAGAGUGUUUAAAGCGGGCUAUUGCUUGAAUAGAUUAGCAUGGAAUAAUAGAAUAGGACGUUGUGGUUCUAUUUUGUUGGUUUCUAGGACCACCGUAAUGAUUAAUAGGGAUAGUUGGGGGCAUUAGUAUUCAAUUGUCAGAGGUGAAACUCUUGGAUUUAUUGAAGACUAACUAUUGCGAAAGCAUUUGCCAAGGAUGUUUUCAUUAAUCAAGAACGAAAGUUAGGGAUCGAAGACGAUCAGAUACCGUCGUAGUCUUAAUCAUAAACUAUGCCGACUAGGAAUCGGGCGACGUUAUUUUCACGACUCGCUCGGCGCCUUAUGG